UAUUUUCCACUUAUCUAACAUUUUAAAAAUGACUGUUUUUAAGCAUCUUAAACUGUUUUCUUAAACCUAAUAAUAAAAGCCUCCAGAAUUAAUGGAAGUGAUAAGAAAUGAUUACAUGGGAGGAGACAGUUCUUUUUUAUAAAAAAGAGAAAUAUUUAAAACCCUGGAAAUAUUCAUUAAAAGCCAAAUGGUUGUCUUUUCCUGUGUUGCUUUCAAAAAGUAAUAGUGAUUUUUAACUGAGAUGGUAAAAGCAAAUCAAGUCCUACCAGCUAGUAUUCUGUGGAAAGCUUUGGAUACCCAUUUGUUUAAUUUAGCCACUUUCAUUCCUCUGGAUCAGACACCCACAUAUCUGAAUUUUUUACCUAUCUCUGUGUUAUUCCGCGCAUGAUUUUUUUUUUUACUUUUUCCAUGUAUUCACAGCCUAACAUACCUGAUUAUAUGUUCUGACACAUAAUUGAAGCUUAGCCAAUGCUUGUUGAAUAGACUGAUGCUUAAUGUGACUUUAACAAACAUUUCUUCAUCUCUAAAAUCAAAUGUAGUGAUGUCCAAGUUCAUCAAGAUCAUGAUGAUGGAGGUGAUUUUUAAAAUAAGAACUUUCUCAUUUUCUUUUUAACUCUCAAGAAGCCACUUAUCCCAUCAUUCAGAAAAUAUUCAUAUGCACAGAGCCUCUAUUUCCCCACUUCUCUCUCUUUUUCUUUUCUUUUCCUUUAUAUUAUCUAAGGCGAUCUACAGAGUCAAUGAAAUCCUUGUCAAAUUACCAAUGACAUUAUUUAUAGAACUAGAACAAAAUAUCUUAAAAUUUGUAUGGAAACACAAAAGACCUCGAAUAGCCAAAGCAAUAUUGAAAAGAAAAAAUCGAACUGGAGGAAUCAGGGUCCCUGACUUCAGACUCUACUACAAAGCUACAGUCAUCAAGAUGGUAUGGUACUGGCCAAAAAGAGAAAUAUAGAUCAAUAGAACAGGAUAGAAAGCCCAGAAAUAAACCAAACACCUAUGAUCAAUUAAUCUAUAAUUAUGCAAGAACAUACAGUGGAGGAAAGACAGUCUCUUCAAUAAAUGAUACUGGGAAAACUGGACAACUGCAUGUAAAAGAAUGAAAUUAGAACAUUGUCUAACACCAUACACAAAAACAAACUCAAAAUGGACUAAAAACCUAAAUGUAAGGCCGGACACUAUAAACCUCCUAGAGGAAACCAUAGGCAGAACUCACUUUGACAUAAAUAACAGCAACAUAUUGUUUGAUCCACCUCCUAGAAUAAAGACAAUGAAGACACAUGUAAACUGAUAGGGCCUAAUUAAACUCAAAAGCUUCUGCACAGGAAAGGAAACCAUUAAAAAACAAAAAGACAACCCAUAGAAUGGGAGAAAAUUUUUACAAGUGAUUCAACUAACAGAGGUUUAAUCUCCAAAAACAGACAAACAACUCAUACAACUCAACAACAACAAAAACCCAAAUAACCUUAUUGAAAAAUGGGCAGAAGACCUAAAGAGACAUUUCACCAAAGACAUACAAAUGGCCAGCAGGCACAUGAAAAAAUGCUCAAGCUCAUUAAUUAUUAGACAAAUGCAAAUCAAAGCUACAAUGAAGUACCACUUCACACCAGUUAGAAUGACCAUCAUUAACAAGUCAACAAAUAACAAAUGCUGGAGAGGAUGUGGAGAAAAGGGAAUCCUCCUAUACAGUCUGUGGGAAUGUAAAUUGGUACAACCACUAUGGAAAAAACAUGGAAAUAUACCUCAGAAAACUAAAUAUAGAACUACCAUACAACACAGCAAUUCCACUCCUGGGCAUAUAUCCAGACAGAAAUUUAAUUGAAAUAGAUAUAUUCACCAAUAGGUUCAUUGCAGCACUCUUCACACUAGCCAAGACAUGGAAAUAAUCUAAAUUAAAUCCCUAUCUAUGGAUGAAUUUAUUAGGAAGAUGUGGUACACAUAUACAAUGGAAUACUACUCAGCCAUAAAAAAUGGACAGAAUAAUGCCAUUUGCAGCAACAUGGAUGGCACUAGAGACUAUCAUACUGAGUGAAGUAAGUCAGAAAGAGAAAGAUAGAUACCAUAUGGUAUCAUUUAUAUGUGGAGACUAAAAUAUGGCACAAAUGAUCUAUCUACAAAACAGAAAAGAUCAUGGACAUGUAUGACAGACUCGUGUUUGCUGGGGGGAGAGGUAGGGAGUGGAAUGUUUAGGGUAUAUGGGGUUAGUAGAGGAAAACUUUUGCAUUUGGAGUGGACGGGCAAUGAGAUCCUGCUGUACAGCACAGGGAACUAUAUAUCUAAUCACUUGUGAUGGAACAUAAUGGAGGAUAAUGUGAGAAAAAGAAUGUAUAUCUAUGUAUCACUUUUCUGUACAACAGAAAUUAACAGAACACUAUAAAUCAAUCAAUAAAUUUUUUUUUAAAAAAUAUUCAUAUGCACAGAGCCUCUAUUUCCCCACUUCUCUCUCGCUUUCUUUCCUUCCUUCCUUCCUCCUUUCUUCCUUUCUUUUUCUUUCUUUCUUUCUUCCUCUUUCUUUCUUUCUUUCUUUCUUUCUUUCUUUCUUUCUUUCUUUCUUUCUUUCUUCUUUCUCUCUUUCUCUCUCUCUCUUUCUUUCUUUCUUUUUUGGUUGUGCUUGUAGCCAGUUGCAAUGAAAAUAAAGUAUUGCAAGUUCCCAGGCCAGAGAUUAAACCUGCACCAUAGCAGUGACAAUGCCAGAUCCUUAACCCACUGAGCCACCAGGGAACUCCUCCCCAUUUCUCUUUAUCUUAGAUUAGUGCUUUUAGUGAACUUGAGGAAUAUUUAAAACUGUCAAGUUGUGCUAGAAACAAUGUGAGUUAAACUUCCUUUUACUGAAAUUAGAGGUUUAAUCACCUGCUAGGAAAAUAUCAGAGCAAUGUAAGAUACUGGUUAAAUACAGACCCUGUAAAUAAUAGACCACCUAAGUGUAAAUGUUUGCUGUUCUAUUACUCAUUGAUCUUGGACCUAGGCUCUCUAAAUUUUAGUUAUCUCAUCUCUAAAAUUGAGUCAAUAGUAGUAUAUGCCUGUUUGUGAUAUUUUUGUGGAUUCAAUAAAUUAAUACAUAUAAAACAUUUGGAAUACUACCUGGCAAACCUAAGCCUACAAUGGGAAUUAACUAUUAUUGUAGUUAUUAUGGUGAUAAUUUGAAUGGAAAGCUUUGAAAUAAUCUUUAUUAGGCACAAUACCAAUACACUUCCCUAUCUAGCAUUGCCCAGUAUUGAGUUUUAAAUAUUUGAUAUUCGGUAUUAUAUUACUAUAUAGACAGCAUGUAAAGUCAAUAAAGUAUCUUUCUUUAGGAAAUGGCCAGACAGCUUUUAUUGGUCCAGUUCUCUAACAGAAAUAGUAACACAAAAAAUAAAUAUUUAAACUCAGUACUGGGAAUUCUUCUGGUGGCACAGUGGAAAUGAAUCCAACUAGUACCCAUGAGGAAGCAGGUUUGAUCCCUGACCUCACUCAGUGUGUUAAGGAUCCACCAUUGCUCUGAGCUGCGGUAUAAGUUGCAGAUGUGGCUUGGAUCUGGCAUUGCUGUGACUGUGGUAUAGGCCAACAGCUACAGCUCUGAUUGGACCCCAGCCUAGGAAUUCCAUAGGAAAAAAAAAAAGAAAAGAAAGAAAAAACCCUCAAAAACUCAAUACUGAGCAGUGCUUGAUAGGUAGGGAAAUAUAUUUGUAUUGUUGGUAUUAGUAUGUUGAAAGACAAAUUUAAACAUUCAGGGAGUUCAGCAAAGCCCAAGAAGGAUAAAUACAAAGAAAACGAUACCCAGUCAAUCUUAGUCAACUGCUAAAAAUGAAGAUAGAGAGAAAAUCUUUUUCUAGAGGAAAACAAAAUAUCAUACAGAGGGAAGCAAUGAUUUAAGGUUCUCUGAUUUAUCCUCAAAUCCUGAAGUCCUGAAGCUAGUGGAAUGCCAUCUUUAGAGAGAGAACAUCUCUAAAGAAUGAAGACAAAAACAGAUACUGUCAUAUAAAAGAAAACUAUAAGAAUUUGUUGCCAAAAGAUUUGCACUAUGUGAAAUUCUGAAGGAAGGUUUUCAGAUUUAAGGAAGAGAAGGCCAGAUGGUGCUGUGAAACUCAGGAAGGAAUACAGAGCCCCACAAAUGUUUUUGAAACUCACACUAAUGCAAUAUUUGAAAAAUCUAUAUAACUAGCUACAAAAAUGAAAUGUUUUAUUUUCUCCCCACUGCUAUUUUCAACCAUGCUUGAAAAAAACCUACUCUGUUGACCCUAAGACAUUUCAGCCAACUGCCUCAGCUCUUCAAUCUCUUUCAGCAGUUAAAAAUAAGUUUUUAAAAGCUACUUGACUUCCUAAUUUCAUAUCUCUUUUUUUAAUACUGGUUUUUAUUUUUUUCCAUUAUAUCUGGUUUAAAGUGUUCUGUCAAUUUUCCACUGUACACUAUGGUGACCCAGUUACACAUACAUGUAUACAUUCUUUUUUAUCAUAUUAUCAUGCUCCAUCAUAAGUGACUAGACAUAAUUCCCAGUGCUACACAGCCGGAUCUCAUUGCUAAUCCAUUCCAAAGGCAAUAGUCUGCAUCUAUUAACCCAAAGCACCCCAUCCAUCUCACUCACUCCCCCUUGGCAACCACAAGUCUCCAAGUCCAUGAUGUUCUUUUCUGUGGAAAGGUUCAUUUGUGCCAUAUUUAGAUUCCAGAUAUAAGUGAUAUCAUAUGGUAUUCAUCUUUCUCUUUCUGACUUACUUCACUCAGUAUGAGAGUCUCUAGUUCCAACCAUGCUGCUGCAAAUGGCAUUAUUUUGUCCUUUUUUAUGGCUGAGUAGUAUCCCAUUGUGUAUAUAUACCACAUCUUCCUAAUCCAGUCAUCUGUCAAUGGACAUUUGGGUUGUUUCCAUGUCUUGGCUAUUGUGAAUAGUGCUGCAAUGAACAUGCAGGUACAUGUGUCUUAUUUUAAGGAAAGUUUUAUCUGGAUAUAUCCCCAAGAGUGGGAUUGCUGGGUCAUAGGGUAGUUCUGUGCAUAUUUUUCUAAGUUCCCGCCAUACUGUUCUCCAUAGUGAAUGCACCAGCUUACAUUCCCACCAUCAGUUCAAGAGGGUUCCCUUUUCUCCACACCCCCUCCAGCAUUUGUUAUUUGUGGACUUAUGAAUAACGGCCAUUCUGACUGGUGUGAGGUGCUAUCUAAUAAUAGUUUUGAUUUUCAUUUUUCUAAUAAUCAGUGGUGUUUAGCAUUUUUUCAUGUGCUUGUUGGCCAUCAGUGUAUCUUCCUUGGAGAGAUGUAUUUUCAGGUCUUUUGCCGAUUGUCCAAUUGGGUAGUUGGCUUUUUGCUGUUGAGUUGUAUAAGUUGUUUGUAUAUUUUAGAGAUGAAGCCCUUGUCAGUUGCAUCAGGCUAAAGCAAACAGAUAUAGAGGAAGGGGUUAACAUACUUAAAAAACAGGGCAACCACAAAUCAAAACUGAACAUUACAUUCACAAAAACUGAAGAGAGAAGUACUCAAGCAUAAAAAAAAGUAAGCCAUCC
rnacentral:lncRNA from 1 species